rnacentral:rRNA from 1 species
CCUACGGGAGGCAGCCGUGAGGAAUAUUGGUCCAUGGACGAGAGUCUGAACCAGCCAAGUAGCGUGAAGGAUGACUGCCCUAUGGGUUGUAAACUUCUUUUAUAUGGGAAUAAAAUGUUCCACGUGUGGGAUUUUGUAUGUACCAUAUGAAUAAGGCUCGGCUAACUCCGUGCCAGCAGCCGCGGUAAUACGGAGGAUCCGAGCGUUAUCCGGAUUUAUUGGGUUUAAAGGGAGCGUAGGUGGAAUGUUAAGUCAGUUGUGAAAGUUUGCGGCUCAACCGUAAAAUUGCAGUUGAAACUGGCAGGCUUGAGUACAGGAGAGGUGAGCGGAAUUCGUGGUGUAGCGGUGAAAUGCUUAGAUAUCACGAAGAACUCCGAUUGCGAAGGCAGCUCACUGGACUGCAACUGACACUGAGGCUCGAAAGUGUGGGUAUCAAACAGGAUUAGAUACCCCUGUAGUC